GGAAGGGUAGCUCAGUGGUAGAGCGACUUCCGGGGGAUCGGAGAUGGCUUCGCGUGGUUCAAUUCCCGCCCCUUCCA
rnacentral:tRNA from 1 species